AUUGAACGCUGGCGGCAUGCCUUACACAUGCAAGUCGAACGGUAACAGGUCUUUCGGGAUGCUGACGAGUGGCGAACGGGUGAGUAAUACAUCGGAACGUGCCUAGUAGUGGGGGAUAACUACUCGAAAGAGUGGCUAAUACCGCAUGAGAUCUAUGGAUGAAAGCAGGGGACCUUCGGGCCUUGUGCUACUAGAGCGGCCGACGGCAGAUUAGGUAGUUGGUGGGAUAAAAGCUUACCAAGCCUGCGAUCUGUAGCUGGUCUGAGAGGACGAUCAGCCACACUGGGACUGAGACACGGCCCAGACUCCUACAGGAGGCAGCAGUGGGGAAUUUUGGACAAUGGGGGAAACCCUGAUCCAGCAAUGCCGCGUGCAGGAUGAAGGCCUUCGGGUUGUAAACUGCUUUUGUACGGAACGAAAAGUCUUGGGUUAAUACCCUGGGAUCAUGACGGUACCGUAAGAAUAAGCACCGGCUAACUACGUGCCAGCCGCCGCCGUAAUAC
rnacentral:rRNA from 1 species